rnacentral:rRNA from 1 species
UACGUAGGGUGCGAGCGUUAAUCGGAAUUACUGGGCGUAAAGCGUGCGCAGGCGGUUCGUUGUGUCGGUGGUGAAAUCCCCGGGCUUAACCUGGGAAUGGCCAUGGAAACUGGCGAACUGGAGUGCGGCAGAGGGGGGUGGAAUUCCGCGUGUAGCAGUGAAAUGCGUAGAGAUGCGGAGGAACACCGAUGGCGAAGGCAGGUCACUGGGCCGCAACUGACGCUGAGGAGCGAAAGCAUGGGGAGCGAACAGG